UUUAAGUGUAUGUUUUUCUAUUCAACGUUUGAUCAUCCAUUUUGUUUGAAAAUUUUUUGUGAUUAGCAUUUUUAUUAUUGCUAGACGAUAAAACAUUAAUAGUAUUUUAUGCAUGAUUUAUUUUUAUAUUUUUUAAAUAAACAGACGAUUAAACAUUAGACACAGAAAUUUAUAACUGCGCUUAAA
rnacentral:pre_miRNA from 1 species